GAUGAACGCUGGCGGCGUGCCUAACACAUGCAAGUCGAGCGGACGGACGAGAAGCUUGCUUCUCUGAUGUUAGCGGCGGACGGGUGAGUAACACGUGGAUAACCUACCUAUCAGACUGGGAUAACUUCGGGAAACCGGCGCUAAUACCGGAUAAUCUUUUGAACCGCAGGGUUCGAAAGUGAAAGACGGUCUUGCUGGCACUUCUAGAUGGAUCCGCGCUGGAUUAGCUAGUUGUUAAGGUAACGGCCUACCAAGGCUACGAUGCAUGGCCGACCUGAGGGGGUGAUAGGCCACAUGGGAACGGAGACGGGGUCCAGAGGCCUACGGGAGGCAGCAGUAGGGAAUCUGACGCAAUGGGCGAAAGCCUGACGGAGCAACGCGGCGUGAGUGACGAAGGUCUUCGGUGCGGAAAACUCUGUUAUUAGGGAAGAACAUAUGUGGAAUUAACUGUGCACAUCUUGACGGUACUUAAUCAGAAAGCAACGGCUAACUACGUG
rnacentral:rRNA from 1 species